rnacentral:rRNA from 1 species
GAUCAUGGCUCAGGAUGAACGCUGGCGGCGUGCUUAACACAUGCAAGUCGAACGGGGAUUAUUUCAUUGAAGCUUCGGCAGAUUUGGCUUAAUCCUAGUGGCGGACGGGUGAGUAACGCGUGGGUAACCUGCCUUGUACAGGGGGAUAACAGUCAGAAAUGACUGCUAAUACCGCAUAAGCGCACAGGACCGCAUGGUCCGGUGUGAAAAACUCCGGUGGUAUGAGAUGGACCCGCGUUGGA